rnacentral:rRNA from 1 species
GGAGUCUGGGCCGUGUCUCAGUCCCAAUGUGGCCGAUCACUCUCUCAAGUCGGCUACUGAUCGUUGCUUUGGUAGGCCGUUACCCUGCCAACUGGCUAAUCAGACGCGGGUCCAUCUUGUACCACCGGAGUUUUUCACACUGUACCAUGCAGUACUGUGCGCUUAUGCGGUAUUAGCAGUCAUUUCUAACUGUUGUCCCCCUGUGUAAGGCAGGUUACCCACGCGUUACUCACCCGUCCGCCACUAAGUCGUCCCAAUUGAAUCUACUUUGAGCAAGCUCUCCAUUUCAUCGGGCGGGACGCUUCGUUCGACUUGCAUGUGUUAAGCACGCCGCCAGCGUUCAUC